rnacentral:rRNA from 1 species
UACGGAGGAUGCAAGCGUUAUCCGGAUUCAUUGGGUUUAAAGGGUGCGUAGGCGGGUUUGUAAGUCAAAGGUGAAAGCCUAUAGCUUAACUAUAGAAGUGCCUUUGAUACUGCAGAUCUUGAGUACAGUUGAGGUUGGCGGAAUGUGUAGUGUAGCGGUGAAAUGCAUAGAUAUUACACAGAACACCGAUUGCGAAGGCAGCUAGCUAAACUGUAACUGACGCUGAGGCACGAAAGCGUGGGGAGCAAACAGG